AUUGAACGCUGGCGGCAUGCCUAACACAUGCAAGUCGAACGGUUUUGGAGCUUGCUCCAAGAUAGUGGCGGACGGGUGAGUAACGCGUAGGAAUCUGCCUUGUGGAGGGGGACAACCCGGGGAAACUCGGGCUAAUACCGCAUAAUAAUCGAGAGAUGAAAGGGUGGGACCUUAGGGCCACUCGCUAUAAGAUGAGCCUGCGUUGGAUUAGCUAGUUGGUGGGGUAAAGGCCUACCAAGGCGACGAUCCAUAACUGGUCUGAGAGGAUGACCAGUCACACUGGGACUGAGACACGGCCCAGACUCCUACGGGAGGCAGCAGUGGGGAAUAUUGGACAAUGGGGGCAACCCUGAUCCAGCAAUGCCGCGUGUGUGAAGAAGGCCUGCGGGUUGUAAAGCACUUUUAGCGAUGAGGAAGGGGUUAAGUCGAAUAGGCUUAGCUUUUGACGUUAGUCGCAGAAAAAGCACCGGCUAACUCUGUGCCAGCCGCCGCGGUAA
rnacentral:rRNA from 1 species